rnacentral:rRNA from 1 species
GGCCCUACGGGGUGCAGCAGGCGCGAAAACUUUACAAUGCGGGCAACCGUGAUAAGGGAACCUCGAGUGCCUGUAAAUGCAGGCUGUUCAGAUGCCUAAAACACAUCUGGAGAAAGGGCCGGGCAAGACCGGUGCCAGCCGCCGCGGUAAUACCGGCGGCUCGAGUGGUGGCCACUUUUAUUGGGCUUAAAGCGUUCGUAGCUGGGUUGUUAAGUCUCUUGGGAAAUCUGGCGGCUUAACCGUCAGGCGUCUAAGGGAUACUGGCAAUCUUGGAACCGGGAGAGGUGAGGGGUACUUCGGGGGUAGGAGUGAAAUCCUGUAAUCCUCGAGGGACCACCUGUGGCGAAGGCGCCUCACCAGAACGGACCUGACGGCAAGGGACGAAAGCUAGGGGCACGAACCGGAUUAGAUACCCGGGUAGUCCUAGCCGUAAACGAUACUCGCUAGGUGUCGGCCACGGUGCGACCGUUGUCGGUGCCGUAGGGAAGCCGUGAAGCGAGCCACCUGGGAAGUACGGCCGCAAGGCUGAAACUUAAAGGAAUUGGCGGGGGAGCACCACAACGGGUGGAGCUUGCGGUUUAAUUGGAUUCAACGCCGGAAAUCUUACCGG